rnacentral:rRNA from 1 species
ACGGGGUGCAGCAGGCGCGAAACUUCCGCAAUGCUCGACAGAGUGACGGAGGGAUUCCAAGUGCCUAUGCUAUGCGUAGGCUGUUUUCAUGUCUAAAUAACAUGGAGAGUAAGAGCUGGGUAAGACGGGUGCCAGCCGCCGCGGUAAUACCUGCAGCUCGAGUGGUAACCGCUAUUAUUGGGCCUAAAGCGUCCGUAGCCGGUUUGGUAAAUAUCUGGGUAAAUCGUGAGGCUUAACUUCACGAAUUUCGGAUAGACUGCCAGACUUGGGAUCGGGGGAGGUCAGAGGUACUCCAGGGGUA